rnacentral:rRNA from 1 species
UCAGUCGGGGGCGGUGGACCGCGGCCGUGAAAACGAGGAAGGGCUUCCCCGAUCCGGGGGCCGUCCGGCCGUUGGGAACUCCGCCGUCCCCUACGCAUUUGUCUCUCGUCCGAAGGACGCCGCAGCCGGUUGGGUAGCUGCAAGCGCGACGGCCUGAGGGGCGGACGAUGGCAGGUGGCCGGUGGGGGGGUUCGUCCCCCUCGCCGGUUGUUAGCCGGUCCGCCAGUGGCCCGUCACCCGACCGAGGUGUCACGAGGCCCCGCACGCGGGCCUCACCGUCUCCUCCCCUGAGUUGCGGGACAGAGCGUCGCAGACGAACUCCGCCGCUUGUCGCACGUCUCUCGGCGUGGACUCGCGAACGGAAGGCGUCGAUGGCGACGCCGGACCCGCGGGAGAAAUGGAGGCUGGCGGCGAGUAGGUCGGUCACCCACCCGACCCGUCUUGAAACACGGACCAAGGAGUAGAACAUGUGCGCGAGUCAAUGGGUCUUGAAUAGGCCCAGAGGCGCAAUGAAAGCAAAGGACGACCCUGACGUCGUCCGAGUUGGGAUCCGUCCCCCGGAAACGGGGGCGGCGCACCAGCGACCCGUCCUAUCCGACUCGUUCGGUUGGGCGGAGUGUGAGCGUACACGUUCUGACCCGAAAGAUGGUGAACUAUGCCCGGACAGGACGAGGCCAGAGGAAACUCUGGUGGAGGUCCGCAGCGG